CCUACGGGGUGCAGCAGGGAGGAAUAUUGGGCAAUGGACGGAAGUCUGAACCAGCCAUGCCGCGUGCAGGAAGACGGCGCUAUGAGUUGGAAACUGCGUUUGUACAAGGGUAAACCUGAAUACGUGUAUGCAGCUGAAAGUAUGGUACGAAUAAGGAUCGGCUAACUCCGUGCCAGCAGCCGCGGUAAUACGGAGGAUCCAAGCGUUAUCCGGAGUUAGUGGGUUUAAAGGGUGCGUAGGCGGAUUGAUAAGUUAGAGGUGAAAUGUCCGAGCUUAACUCGGGAACUGCCUCUCAUAAUGUUGCUCUAGCGCGUAGCUGCGGUAGGCGGAAUGUAUGGUGUCGCGGU
rnacentral:rRNA from 1 species